rnacentral:rRNA from 1 species
CCUACGGGAGGCAGCAGUGGGGAAUAUUGCACAAUGGGGGAAACCCUGAUGCAGCGAAGCCGCGUGAGUGAAGAAGUAUCUCGGUACGUAAAGCCCUAUCAGCCGGGAAGAAAAACCGGCGUUAGGGCCGCCAGACGGUACCUGACUAAGAAGCCCCGGCUCACUACGUGUCAGCAGCCGCGGUGAUACGGAGGGGGCAAGCGUUAUCCGGAUUUACGUGGGGUAAAGGGAGUGUAGAGGGCAGCGCAAGUCUGGGGGGAAAAGCCGGGGCCCAACCCCCGAACUGCUUUGGAAACUGUGAGGCUGGAGUGGAGGAGAGGUAAGCGGAAUUCCCAGUGUAGCGGUGAAAUGCGUAGAUAUUGGGCGGAACACCGGUGGCGAAGGCGGCAUACCGGACUGUAACUGACGUUGAGGCACGAAAGCGUGGGGAGCAAACAGGAUUAGAUACCCCAGUAGUC